GGUGUACAGAGGCACAGUCAUUCAGAAGCCCUGGGUGUACAGAGGCACAGUCAUUCAGAAGCCCUGGGUGUACAGAGGUGCAGUCAUUCAGAAGCCCUAGGUGUACAGAGGCACAGACAUUCAGAAGCCCUAGGUGUACAGAGGUGCAGUCAUUCAGAAGCCCUAGGUGUACAGAGGCACAGACAUUCAGAAGCCCUAGGUGUACAGAGGUGCAGUCAUUCAGAAGCCCUAGGUGUACAGAGGUGCAGACAUUCAGAAGCCCUAGGUGUACAGAGGCGCAGUCAUUCAGAAGUCCUAGGUGUACAGAGGUGCAGUCAUUCAGAAGCCCUAGGUGUACAG